GACGAACGCUGGCGGCGUGCUUAACACAUGCAAGUCGAACGGAAAGGCCCUGCUUUUGUGGGGUUCUCGAGUGGCGAACGCGUGAGUAACACGUGUGUAACCCGCCCUUGUCUUUCUGAUAACUUCACGAAACUGCGGCUCAUAUCGGAUAGGAGCUCCUGCUGCAUGGUGGGGGUUGGUAAGUGUCGGCGGUGGGGGAUGGACUCGCGGCUUAUCAGCUUGAUGGUGGGGUAGUGGCUUACCAAGGCUUUGACGGGUAGCCGGCCUGAGAGGGGGACCGGCGACAAUGGGACUGAGGUAGGGACCAGACGCGUACGGGAGGCAGCAGUGGGGAAUAUGGCACAAUGGGCGGAAGCCUGAGACGGCAACGCCGCGUGCGGGAAGACGGCCUUCGGGUGGUAAACCGCUUUCGCCUGAGACGAAGCGUGCGUGACGGUAAUGGGUAAAGAAGCACCGGCUAACUACGUG
rnacentral:rRNA from 1 species